rnacentral:rRNA from 1 species
AGUGAACGCUGGCGGUAGGCCUAACACAUGCAAGUCGAACGGCAGCACAGUAAGAGCUUGCUCUUACGGGUGGCGAGUGGCGGACGGGUGAGGAAUACAUCGGAAUCUACUUUUUCGUGGGGGAUAACGUAGGGAAACUUACGCUAAUACCGCAUACGACCUACGGGUGAAAGCAGGGGAUCUUCGGACCUUGCGCGAUUGAAUGAGCAGCUGUCGGAUUAGCAAGUUGACGGGGUAAAGGACAACCAAGCCGACGAACCGUCGCUGGUCUGAGAGGAUGAUCAGCCACACUGAUACUGAGGCACGGUCCAGACCCCUACGGGAGGCACCAGUGGGGAAUAUUGCACAAUGCGCGCAAGCCUGAUCCAGCCAUACCGCGUGGGUGAAGAAGGCCUUCGCGUUGUAAAGCCCUUUUGUUGGGAAAGAAAAGCAGCAGGUUAAUACCCCGCUGUUCUGACGGUACCCAAAGAAUAAGCACCGGCUAACUUCGUG